rnacentral:lncRNA from 14 species
AUGUCCCCAAUGUCCCCAGCACCCCACACCCUCUCUGUCACCGGUGGUGUCCCAGGGGUGGCACUUUGUCCCCAGUGGCCCCUUGUCCCCCCCGUCCUUGCCGUGUCCCCUCUCACCAUUGCUGUCCCCGCUCGGUGUCCCCACUGUCCCUGCUCACCGUGGCUGUCCCCACCAUGUCCCUGCUGUCCCCGCUCACCGUGGCUGUCCCCGCGGUGUCCCCACUGUCCCCCUUUCACUUGGUGUUGUCCCCGCGGUGUCCCCGCUGUCCCCUCUCACCGUUGGUGUCCCCGCGGUGUCCCCGCUCCCCUCUCACCGUUGGUGUCCCCACUGUCCCCGCUCACUAUCGGUGUCCCCCCGCUGUCCCCGCUCACCGUUGCUGUCCCCGCGGUGUCCCCGCUGUCCCCGUUGGUGUCCCCGCGGUGUCCCCGCUGUCCCCUCUCACCGUUGGUGUCCCUGUGGUGUCCCCGCUGUCCCCUCUCACCGUUGGUGUCCCCACUGUCCCCGCUCACUAUCGGUGUCCCCACGCUGUCCCCUCUCACCGUUGGUGUCCCCGCGGUGUCCCCGCUGUCCCCGCUCACCGUGGCUGUCCCCGCGGUGUCCCCGCUGUCCCCGCAGGCUGUCGGGGUGUGCGGCCAGCGCGUGCCGCCGGAUGUCCCCGAGGUGCAGCGAGGGCAGGGCGCGGCAGCAGCGCAGGCAGCGCAGCCGCAGCCCCCCGGCCUCCAGGUCCAGCCGCAGCUCCGCCCGCAGCCAGCCCCGCAGCGAGUCCCCAAGUGCCACCACCCCCCUGGGGACACCUUGGCGGCCCUCGGGGGCGGGGGACGGGGCCCUGCGGGAGGGGACGGCACGGUCAGCAAGGGGACUUGGGGACAGCUCAGGGACAGAGGGGCUGGGGACACUUUGAGGACUUCGGGGACAGCCUGGGGACAGGGCGAGGGACAUUGGGGACAAUUUGGGGACACUGGGGACACUUUGGGGCCAUUGGGGACAGCCUGGGGACAGGGCAAGGGACACUGGGGACACCUUGGGGCCAUUGGGGACACUUUGGACACCUGCGGCUGCCACUGUGGUGGUGGGCGGUGUCGCAGAGGGGGCGGGGCUGAGGGGCUGGGUGUGGUCUGGGUGGGGCCGCUCUUAAAGGGGCAGUGUUCGCUUAAAGAGGCGGGGUUUAGUGAAGGGGUGUGGUCAGACAUGGGCGGGGCAUUUAAAGGGGAAGCGCCGAAUGCCUAA